GAAAGCCACUUGGCUUAUCUCAUGGCUAGCCAUGGAGGAUGGAAUUUUUUUCUCCUCCCCUCCACUUCCACACUGCUGAGCUACAGAUGACGCUUCCAACAGAUGGACCGUUGGUGCUCAACCCACACGUAAACCAUAGCAGACAAGAUGAUCCCACCCAAGAGGACAUGAACUGGAGCAUGUUAUGUCAAUGAUCUCUGCUUUUCCAGCAUCACUGUGAGCUUCAUUAAAUUGUCCCACUGCCUGGAGGUCACCAUUGGAUAGACUUUUGAUGCCUGACAAGGGUAUGCACUGGCCUUGUGUUGACUCUGAAGUUGAUGCCACUAGAUGAUGCUUAGAACUGAGCUCACAAUGAUCGGAAAGAAUACCAUCAAGCAAGUGAAUUGGGAUGAAUACUGGGUGAGAACAUGUCUUCUGGUGCGUGUGUAAAGUGUUGAAGUCAGUAUGGAAACCCUGUGGAGUUCUCAAAAACCUGAAGUCAGAACUGCCACUUGAAUCAGCUGUACCACUCUUGGGCAUAUAUGCAGCAGAGGCAUAUGUGUGCAUCCACGCUCAGACCUGCUCCAGUCACAGUAUGCGGGAUGGAAGCAGCCUCGAUGCCUGUCCAUUGACGGCUGAUUGCACAUGGGAGACGCAGUUCGAAUAAACAGCAUUGUUCACCUGUGAAGAAAAUUUGAAAGAAAUGGAUGGAUCUUGAGAUUACUAUAUUAAGUGAUGCAACCCAGACAAGGAACAGGAAAUUACACAUGUUCUUUCUCACAUGCAGAGCCUACCCUCCAGUCCUCGUCUACGUACGUUAGUGCAGGUGUGAGUCAGGGUGUUUGUAGGUCACAACAAUGCUUUACUUUUGUUCCUGCAUUCAGAUCUCUCCCCUUAAGAACUGAAUAUAAGUCCUUGUGCUAUACUAGACUAGAUCCAGCUCAGUGAUGUGUGAUACGUAAUGUGCUGCACACCAAUACCUUACUGUCCACUCUCCUCACUGUCCAGGGGUUCUUUCUUGUUCUUCUUCUCUUUCUCUCCAUCUCCUUUCCCCCUUUCUCUCAUACGCACACACAUUUAGCCUCAUCCUUUCCAUUAAGGCGUUUAGCUGAGGAAUGAUUUUUCAACCUCCACUUAUAUAAUUUACUGUAAAGAUUACUUGAAGCCAUAGAUGUUGUCAGUAUCCAUAUUUUCCCAGUACCUUUAGCAUAUGAGCAGUAUGCUAUUCACCCCAGGUCAUCAGAAUCUAAUCUUAUUUUGAAGAAAAGAGAAAACAAAACCAACGGCUGCUACAAGUUAACAUUUAGAGUUAACUAAGAGUUGUGACAUCCUCUCCUGGACUCUGCUGGUACUGGCUUUCAUACAGGCACAUGACUGCACAUGGAUAUACACGUGUGCAUAUUAUUAAAAGGAAAAUAAGUCUUUAAAGAGAUGUGGUUAACAGUCACAGUAUGAUUCCUUAAAAAUUAAAACCAUAUAUUAGUUAAAAAUUUUAA